UCUUACAGCCAUAUCACGUUGAAAGCACCGGUUCUCGUCCGAUCACAGAAGUUAAACAACGUCGAGCCUAGUGAGUACUUAGAUGGGUGACUGCUUGAGAAGCCUGGGUACUAUAAGCG
rnacentral:rRNA from 1 species